rnacentral:rRNA from 1 species
CGAGCGGACUAAUGGGAGCUUGCUCCCAGAGGUUAGCGGCGAACGGGUGAGUAACACGUGGGCAACCUGCCCUGUAGACUGGGAUAACAUCGAGAAAUCGGUGCUAAUACCGGAUAAUAAUAGGAACUGCAUAGUUCCCAUUUAAAAGAUGGCUCCGGCUAUCACUACAGGAUGGGCCCGCGACGCAUUAGCUAGUUGGUAAGGUAACGGCUUACCAAGGCGACGAUGCGUAGCCGACCUGAGAGGGUGAUCGGCCACACUGGGACUGAGACACGGCCCAGACUCCUACGGGAGGCAGCAGUAGGGAAUCUUCCGCAAUGGACGAAAGUCUGACGGAGCAACGCCGCGUGAGUGAUGAAGGGUUUCGGCUCGUAAAGCUCUGUUGUUAGGGAAGAACAAGUGCCGUUCGAAUAGGGCGGCACCUUGACGGUACCUAACCAGAAAGCCACGGCUAACUACGUGCCAGCAGCCGCGGUAAUACGUAGGUGGCAAGCGUUGUCCGGAAUUAUUGGGCGUAAAGCGCGCGCAGGCGGUCUUUUAAGUCUGAUGUGAAAUCUCGGGGCUCAACCCCGAGCGGUCAUUGGAAACUGGGAGACUUGAGUACAGAAGAGGAGAGUGGAAUUCCACGUGUAGCGGUGAAAUGCGUAGAUAUGUGGAGGAACACCAGUGGCGAAGGCGACU